AAGGUAGCGUAAUCAAUAGCCUAUUAAUUGUUGGCCUGUAUGAAUGGUACGACGCUGGUGGUGCUGUCUCAGUUGCAUUUAUUUGAACUUAACUUCCGGGUGAAAAGGCCCAGAUAAAUCUGAAAGACGAUUAGACCCUAUCGAACUUUAGGUAGAUCAGCUGUCAAGACACCCAGUAAGGGUAGAGCCUGCCUGCUGCUUAAACCUUUGGUUGGGGUAACCGGGGGUUAAAAAAACCGCCCCCCUCCUUUGAAAGUAGACACCCGCAUGAUGAAGGUAGUAGAGAUUUUACCUCCAGGGCAAUUGGCCUUCAGGAAAGUACCACCUUUUAUAAAAUUAGGAAAGUCUGACAAGACGUAACUUACUUAUAGAAUGAACCUAAAGAACUGUUUGCUAUCAGUCAACUGUUAAUAGGGAAGAGUUACCGUAGGGAUAACAGCGUAAUCCUCCC
rnacentral:rRNA from 1 species